rnacentral:rRNA from 1 species
GAUGAACGCUGGCGGCGCGCCUAAUACAUGCAAGUCGAGCGAACGGACGAGAAGCUUGCUUCUCUGAUGUUAGCGGCGGACGGGUGAGUAACACGUGGAUAACCUACCUAUAAGACUGGGAUAACUUCGGGAAACCGGAGCUAAUACCGGAUAAUAUUUUGAACCGCAUGGUUCAAAAGUAAAAGACGGUCUUGCUGUCACUUAUAGAUGGAUCCGCGCUGCAUUAGCUAGUUGGUAAGGUAACGGCUUACCAAGGCAACGAUGCAUAGCCGACCUGAGAGGGUGAUCGGCCACACUGGAACUGAGACACGGUCCAGACUCCUACGGGAGGCAGCAGUAGGGAAUCUUCCGCAAUGGGCGAAAGCCUGACGGAGCAACGCCGCGUGAGUGAUGAAGGUCUUCGGAUCGUAAAACUCUGUUAUUAGGGAAGAACAUAUGUGUAAGUAACUGUGCACAUCUUGACGGUACCUAAUCAGAAAGCCACGGCUAACUACGUGCCAGCAGCCGCGGUAAUACGUAGGUGGCAAGCGUUAUCCGGAAUUAUUGGGCGUAAAGCGCGCGUAGGCGGUUUUUUAAGUCUGAUGUGAAAGCCCACGGCUCAACCGUGGAGGGUCAUUGGAAACUGGAAAACUUGAGUGCAGAAGAGGAAAGUGGAAUUCCAUGUGUAGCGGUGAAAUGCGCAGAGAUAUGGAGGAACACCAGUGGCGAAGGCGACUUUCUGGUCUGUAACUGACGCUGAUGUGCGAAAGCGUGGGGAUCAAACAGGAUUAGAUACCCUGGUAGUCCACGCCGUAAACGAUGAGUGCUAAGUGUUAGGGGGUUUCCGCCCCUUAGUGCUGCAGCUAACGCAUUAAGCACUCCGCCUGGGGAGUACGACCGCAAGGUUGAAACUCAAAGGAAUUGACGGGGACCCGCACAAGCGGUGGAGCAUGUGGUUUAAUUCGAAGCAACGCGAAGAACCUUACCAAAUCUUGACAUCCUUUGACAACUCUAGAGAUAGAGCCUUCCCCUUCGGGGGACAAAGUGACAGGUGGUGCAUGGUUGUCGUCAGCUCGUGUCGUGAGAUGUUGGGUUAAGUCCCGCAACGAGCGCAACCCUUAAGCUUAGUUGCCAUCAUUAAGUUGGGCACUCUAAGUUGACUGCCGGUGACAAACCGGAGGAAGGUGGGGAUGACGUCAAAUCAUCAUGCCCCUUAUGAUUUGGGCUACACACGUGCUACAAUGGACAAUACAAAGGGCAGCGAAACCGCGAGGUCAAGCAAAUCCCAUAAAGUUGUUCUCAGUUCGGAUUGUAGUCUGCAACUCGACUACAUGAAGCUGGAAUCGCUAGUAAUCGUAGAUCAGCAUGCUACGGUGAAUACGUUCCCGGGUCU